rnacentral:rRNA from 1 species
UACAGAGGGUGCGAGCGUUGUCCGGAAUCACUGGGCGUAAAGGGCGCGUAGGCGGCCCGGUAAGGUUGCGGUGAAAGCCCGGGGCUCAACCCCGGGUCGGCCGUGGCAACUGCUGGGCUGGAGCACAGUAGAGGCGGGUGGAAUUCCGGGUGUAGCGGUGGAAUGCGUAGAGAUCCGGAAGAACACCGGUGGCGAAGGCGGCCCGCUGGGCUGUUGCUGACGCUGAACCACGAAAGCCAGGGGAGCAAACGGG